rnacentral:rRNA from 1 species
CCUACGGGCGGCAGCAAUGGGGAAUAUUGGACAAUGGGGGGAACCCUGAUCCAGCCAUGCCGCGUGUGUGAAGAAGGCCCUCGGGUUGUAAAGCACUUUCAGUGAGGAAGAACGCCUGGUGGUUAAUACCCAUCAGGAAAGACAUCACUCACAGAAGAAGCACCGGCUAACUCCGUGCCAGCAGCCGCGGUAAUACGGAGGGUGCGAGCGUUAAUCGGAAUUACUGGGCGUAAAGCGCGCGUAGGUGGCUUGAUAAGCCGGUUGUGAAAGCCCCGGGCUCAACCUGGGAACGGCAUCCGGAACUGUCAAGCUAGAGUGCAGGAGAGGAAGGUAGAAUUCCCGGUGUAGCGGUGAAAUGCGUAGAGAUCGGGAGGAAUACCAGUGGCGAAGGCGGCCUUCUGGACUGACACUGACACUGAGGUGCGAAAGCGUGGGUAGCAAACAGGAUUAGAUACCCGAGUAGUC